UACGAAGGGGGCUAGCGUUGUUCGGAAUCACUGGGCGUAAAGCGCACGCAGGCGGAUUGAUAAGUCAGGGGUGAAAUCCCGGAGCUCAACUUCGGAAUUGCCUUUGAUACUGUCUGUCUUCGAGUUCGGGAGAGGUUGGCGGAAUUCCUAGUGUAGAGGUGAAAUUCGUAGAUAUUAGGAAGAACACCAGUGGCGAAGGCGGCCAACUGGCCCGAUACUGACGCUCAUGUGCGAAAGCGUGGGGAGCGAACGGG
rnacentral:rRNA from 1 species